rnacentral:rRNA from 1 species
GAUCCUGGCUCAGGAUGAACGCUAGCUACAGGCUUAACACAUGCAAGUCGAGGGGCAGCAUGGUCUUAGCUUGCUAAGACUGACGGCGACCGGCGCACGGGUGAGUAACACGUAUCCAACCUGCCGUCUACUCUUGGGACAGCCUUCUGAAAGGAAGAUUAAUACAAGAUGGCAUCAUGAGUCCGCAUGUUCAUAUGAUUAAAGGUAUUCCGGUAGACGAUGGGGAUGCG